rnacentral:tRNA from 1 species
CAGAUUAAUCUUAAAGUUAAGUAAUUUUAUUUACACUAAAAUUUGAAUCGUGCAAUUCGAUAUAAUCUGA